AUUGAACGCUGGCGGCAGGCCUAACACAUGCAAGUCGAACGAGUGGCGGACGGGUGCGUAAUGUCUGGGAAACUGCCUGAUGGAGGGGGAUAACUACUGGAAACGGUAGCUAAUACCGCAUACCAUCAGAUGUGCCCAGAUGGGAUUAGCUUGUUGGUGGGGUAACGGCUCACCAAGGGGACGAUCCCUAGCUGGUCUGAGAGGAGGACCAGCAGAACUGGAACUGAGACACGGUCCAGACUGCUACGGGAAGCAGCAGGAGGGAAUAUUGCCAAAGGGGCGCAAGCAUGAUGCAGGCAUGCCGGGUGGAUGAAGAAGGCCGUCGGGUUGGAAAUGACUGUCAGCUGGGAGGCGUUCCCCGCAGAAGAAGCACCUGCUAACCUCGUGCCAGCAGCCGCGGUAAUU
rnacentral:rRNA from 1 species